GCAGCAGCAGCUCUCAACCUGAGUCCCAACAGCUCGACUCUUUAAUAAUUUAAGUGAUUUACACUCCCCAAAGUGCAUCUGAACAGAUUUAUUAUGAGCGUUUGCGACCUGUUCUUCUGAAGCACUUCUCUGAUGUCUGCUCAUCAUUAGAGUUCACCACCCAACUCAGUUCAGAGUGAUAAUAGGAAGUAUUUUCCACUAGGAGCAUGAUGUGAGUGCAAGAGACAUGUGAGCCGCUCCCGGAGCCAAGAAAUAGGGACAGUUUGCCCCUGCAGAACACACACCUGGGAAUAACGGAGCCAGUCACUGGAUGUCACCAUUGAGCUGCAGAAGUGUGGCUGGAAGUCCGUUAUUUAUCUGCUGCUAACAGCACAAGGGUUUGAAGGAAGGAGUCUGUCGCUGGAAGCCCUCGGGAGCAGCCUUCUGAUGCUGCAGGCAACAUCCAAGCCUGAGGGAGGGGAGAAGAAAGAACUCUGGAGUACCUCAGAAGAGAAAGUCUGUCUAGGAGCUGAUGUGCUGAUUUUGUCAUUCCUGAACAAAACAAUAAAAAACCCAAGCCACCAGAUUUCAAAGGAUUCUUGAACCCAUUAAAGAAUGUUCUGGUAAGAUCAA